CAGCUCCUACGGGACGCAGCAGUGGGGAAUAUUGCACAAUGGGGGAAACCCUGAUGCAGCAACGCCGCGUGAGUGAUGACGGCCUUCGGGUUGUAAAGCUCUGUCUUCAGGGACGAUAAUGACGGUACCUGAGGAGGAAGCCACGGCUAACUACGUGCCAGCAGCCGCGGUAAUACGGAGGGGGCGAGCGUUGUCCGGAUUUACUGGGCGUAAAGGGAGCGUAGGCGGAUUUUUAAGUGAGAUGUGAAAUACUCGG
rnacentral:rRNA from 1 species